GGGCCAUUAGCUCAGUUGGCAGAGCACCUGACUUUUAAUCAGGGUGAAGCCAAACUGACCGGGGUAAAGACCUGAAUGGCCCU
rnacentral:tRNA from 1 species